ACUAUUGUAGUUUAGAAAAACAUUGGCCUUGUAAGCCAAAGAACGAGAAUAAAAUCUCCAAUAGUAAA
rnacentral:tRNA from 1 species